rnacentral:rRNA from 1 species
GAUGAACGCUGGCGGCGUGCCUAAUACAUGCAAGUCGAGCGAACAGACGAGGAGCUUGCUCCUCUGACGUUAGCGGCGGACGGGUGAGUAACACGUGGAUAACCUACCUAUAAGACUGGGAUAACUUCGGGAAACCGGAGCUAAUACCGGAUAAUAUAUUGAACCGCAUGGUUCAAUAGUGAAAGACGGUUUUGCUGUCACUUAUAGAUGGAUCCGCGCCGCAUUAGCUAGUUGGUAAGGUAACGGCUUACCAAGGCAACGAUGCGUAGCCGACCUGAGAGGGUGAUCGGCCACACUGGAACUUAGACAAGGUCCAGACUCCUACGGGAGGCAGCAGUAGGGAAUCUUCCGGAAUGGGCGAAAGCCUGACGGAGCAACGCCGCGGGAGUGAUGAAGGUCUUCGGAUCGUAAAACUCUGUUAUUAGGGAAGAACAAAUGUGUAAGUAACUAUGCACGUCUUGACGGUACCUAAUCAGAAAGCCACGGCUAACUACGUG